CAGAAGGGGGGAAGAAAGGGUGAAACCCUACUUGUUCAAUCAAGGUCAAAAUUCAGCAAAUUAAUGGUGGUUCUUGACACAAAUCGAAUGCAUGUGCUUGAUUACUCACUAAUCUAAGUAUUCUGAUCAUAAGGAGUCAUGUCAAUAGGGACACGAAUAUGGAAGCGCUUCGGGUCGAAGGUAAACACGGAAGCCACAUGUAAAUUGGACGUACGAGGUAAGUAAACUCCCGGACUCCCUCUUUAGUAGUAAAAGAGAUUAAUUGUAUGAUAAUUGUUAGAAGUUAUGUUGAAAUGCGUUAUUGUUGAUGAUAUCAAGUAAGUAGUAUUAAGUAAGUGAUUUCCGAAUCACUUCUUAGUUUAUUUAAGCAAAGUUAUGUGCUAGUUACUUGAGCAUGGUAAUCAAUGCCUAUUAAGAUUUGGUUAUUUAGAAGCGAAGGUUUUCGCUAUGUAUACCAAAUGGUCAAAAUAAGGAAGUUUUACUAAUGAAGUUCACUUACGUAUAAUUGAUUGAAAUGAAUGAGUUUAACGCAUACCAGGAAUCGGGUUCA